rnacentral:rRNA from 1 species
GAUGAACGCUGGCGGCGUGCCUAAUACAUGCAAGUCGAGCGAACAGACGAGGAGCUUGCUCCUCUGACGUUAGCGGCGGACGGGUGAGUAACACGUGGAUAACCUACCUAUAAAACUGGGAUAACUUCGGGAAACCGGAGCUAAUACCGGAUAAUAUAUUGAACCGCAUGGUUCAAUAGUGAAAGACGGUUUUGCUGUCACUUAUAGAUGGAUCCGCGCCGCAUUAGCUAGUUGGUAAGGUAACGGCUUACCAAGGCGACGAUGCGUAGCCGACCUGAGAGGGUGAUCGGCCACACUGGAACUGAGACACGGUCCAGACUCCUACGGGAGGCAGCAGUAGGGAAUCUUCCGCAAAGGGCGAAAGCCUGACGGAGCAACGCCGCGUGAGUGAUGAAGGUCUUCGGAUCGUAAAACUCUGUUAUUAGGGAAGAACAAAUGUGUAAGUAACUAUGCACGUCUUGACGGUACCUAAUCAGAAAGCCACGGCUAACUACGUG